AUGUAAGCGAACUCACCUUUUUUGUGCACGUCGACGUGGAACUCUUCCGCCGCUCUUGGAUCUGAAACACAAAACGCGUCAUCCAGGUACUCGUAUCGAUACCUACACGUCACUGCUGCGGAGAGUGAAGUUCGAAGUAGUAAUUCAACAUCAAGAUUAUUACACACGUCCAACUAGUGAACGCAAUGAGGGGAUUUAAAACAUUUUCAAUUGCAAAGGAGAAUUAUAUUAUAUAAUUUACGUUUUGAAAAUAUCCAUGUUAACCAGUGUUCUAAUUGAAUAAACUGUAUGAUACAACGUGUAGGCGCCAACAUUUACUACACAUACGAACAAUAGUGUUUUUAAUUUUUAAACUUAUACCGUAAAGUUGAAUAACUCUAGGAACGUACGUAAACGUAAGAAUUAUACAGAACGGUUUAAAUAAAUAAAAUAUUUUGAACAUUA